CAAUGCCACCAUAAUGUAGUAUCAUUAUAUGUAGGUAUUAACUGUAGUAUGUCUUGAGAAGUUGUUCUUCUCAGUGUGAAAGUAUUUUCAGACAGAAGUUGGGAUUUUUUGGCUUUUACAGCUACUGCAGCAGCAACUUUUGGAUUUUCUUGACCUUUAUCAUAAUGCUCACUAUAAAUAUUAUUUAUUAUAAAAUUCCCUUACUUUAAAAAUUAAUCCGUAACAUUAACUGACUGCCUAUAGCAAAAAGAUUUCACCAGGACUGUUCUGCAGAACACUCCUUCUCUUAGCUGUGCUGAAAUUUAUUGUUUUAUACAUCAUUGAGUAAACUUUUAUUCCCUUAUCAUCCAAAAGGGGCUGGAUCAUGAUUUUAAUCAAAUUGUUGCUGUUCUCAUUUAAGCUGUUUUUGUGACAACUGCAGGCAUUUAAGUGAGGCUACUGAAAGCCUAAAGCUUUCUCUAGGUGUUACUGCUUUGCUCUGUGUCACUGCUGUUAAGAGGAAGAAUGAAAAGUCAAGCAGGAGUGCACAUUUCAUCCCAGCUGGUGUUCCAGCAUUAUUUCGUGCAAAAACUGCCACUCAGGUUCACACUGUCUUUAGCAGAAAGGUGCAAGCAAACACUGCUUCUGUUCUCAGUUACCCAAGAGCUGUGUUAGCACAGUGUUGUGCCCAAGCUAACUCCUUCUGUCUUUCAGCAAGAUAGAUAGCUCAGGCUUUGCUCUGUCAAGAAAUACAUAAUUUUUCCUUGUCUCUGAGCACUGGCAGAAGCAGCUCAUGUCUGCUUGCGAAAUACCACAUAAACAACCCCUUAGCCUGAGCAGCUGUAUGUCCAGUCAGUGAUCUUGUGUUACCAGGCAAAACACUUGCUUGACUGCAAUGACAAGCUUGUUUUUUGAAAGCUGGGACCUGUUUUGUGCAGACCAAAAAAUGUCCCACUUCUUCAGAGGAACAUGUUUGUACUAAGUUAUAAAAGUCUUACUUGAAUAUAUUCUGUAUGGGUUUUUUUUUAAAUUUGCUUUCUUUUUAUAAGCCUUCUAUAACCUUUUACGUCCCUGCCCUAAUUUAUUUGAAAGGUCUUUUUGAGUCCAGAGUGGCAGAAGCUCUGAUCCAGCAUUCCCAAAGGACCCCUUCCCUGGGAACCAGUGCUUUGGUUCCUUUCAGGCGCCAAAGCUUCUUUGACCGAGUGAAUCAAUCACUAGAGAAAGACAGCCUGACCAUCAAAUCAGCUCUACGUGUACAAAGACUGCACAGUACCUCCAGUGAGCAAGCUGGGAGAUCCAUGCAUCUUGUAAAUCUUCUAAAGGACAAAAGCAUUAGAAAAUCAAUACCUAAUGGUGCAUCUCAGGAGAGAUGGAGUAAGAUGGACUUCAGCAGAGCCAAGAUUGAGCACAAAAGGUGGCAAGAGGAGCAGAGGCAGCUGAAGAGAGAGCAGCAGCAAGAGGCAGAUGGCAUCCAACGCCAGCUGCGCAGGGACAACCAGAGGCAGCGAUUGCGUCAGAGAACAUUGCAAGUGUUGGAGAAACAGCUGGAGCACAAAGACAGAGCUUUGCAGCACAUGGCACUGCUCCAGGCUGCUGGGGCAGAGAGGAGCAGGAAGGCAUCCUCCUUGCUAGAGGAGGAGAAGAGGAAAGCAAGUCAGAGGCUGCAGUUCUUAAAGGCACAGCAUUUGCAGAGAGAGGAGUUGCAGGUAGAACGCAAUGACAGGAGCUCUGAACAAGAGAAAGAAAGGCUGGAUUUUCUCAGGAGCAGAAUGCAGUCACGGCAGGAAACGUUGAAACAAGAAUCACAGGAGCAGGACAGGCAACAAAAACGGCACCAGGCUGCCAAAGGGAGAGUGUUCCAGAGCAGAGACCGGUCACACCAAAAGAUGGAAAAAGAAGGCCAAAAACUCUGUGACCUCCAGCAGUACCUCAGAGAGCAGAAUCUUUUGAUGCUCCGGGCGUCACUGCUAGCCUAAGGAAGCUGCUGAGAGGGUAAGCAGGCCCUCGAGCAGUUCACAGACCUGCUCUGUAUCCUGUAGGGGUGAGUCUGUGGGCUGGAGCUUGGGUGCUUGAAUGCAGUUGUGACAAGUGGAAUUAUGAUUCCUGGAGAAGCCUUUAAUCUUCCUUUCAUUGCAGCCAGAGUGCAUUUUCACUGCUCCGUCCUUUCCAUGCCUUUCUUUCUGGAGUUACCCCUCCUUCUGGAGUUACCUGUUCUGUGACCCUGCUGACAGAACUGGCUCUGCAACAAAGAGCUACCUUGGCAUUUAACAUGAAAUAGGGCCAUAGUACCGAGUUUCUGCCCCAAAGUCAUCUUUCCCAAGGCCUCCAAGGAGUCAGCACCCAUCAUGCCGAGUGUUGUAGUCUGAGGCUGUUGAAAGUGUCAUGAGGCGACUCAAAGCGGAGCAACAGAGGACCUGGGAGUUAGUGACAGAAUGAUUCAAAGGGCACAAGAUCUAGAGCGAGGCAGAGGGGCAUUAGCUUGUAGCUACUUUUGAGAUGCAAACAAGAGACAGCAAUUAGUUAAAUGAGGGCACAGGCUGUGCAAUAGAAUAGGAGGUGAAGAACAAGAAUGGAGGUCAAGACAAACCCCCUGGGAUGAGUCCCUCAAGUGAAGCAGUGCAAGCACAGGCACAGGUUACAUCCUGCUAACCCAAGUCUGCAGGGAAAUUAAAUGCAGGUCUCAAAAGGCUUCUGCUGUUGAAUCCUGGGAACUUUCUGCCCUGCUGUGCUUCUUCCAGAGCAGCACCAGAAAGCACAUUUCUUUAAGGUCAAGGACCACAUAAAAUAGGACAUGUAGUUACAUGAUGCUGUCAUAUGACUUAGCUUGAUACGUUAACGUUCUAUUAAAUAAUGGGGAAGGAGAGCUGGACACCAGCUGGAUGUUAAAAAACCCAAACCUGCAGCAAUGAAAAUGUACAUGCUAAAAUACAACGUAAAGUAUCCACUGCAUUUCCAUUAUGAACAACAGACUCUUCCAAGUCAGUUGAGAUCCACAGGGAAGAAGUCUCCCUACAUAUGACACAGUUGUGCUACUGCCUGCCAAAACUGCUGUAAGGGGCAGGGCAAGGAUAAAGUGACAUGAGGAGUGCUUCAGAAAACCUGCUAAGGCAACUUGGAGCCCUCCAGCUUUGGCUUCAGGUAAGUGUAGUUCUUCUACUGUCAGGGUGUCCAUACUGCUUGGAAUAAAUAGGCCACUCCCCUAGAGGAGGAAUGACUU
ensembl:lncRNA